AUAAGUUAAGGAAAUAGUGGACUGACUUCUGAUUAUAGAAACCAUCAGAAAACAUUUCCUGAUUUCCAUAUGCCAAAGUCAAUCAACCAAUCUCUAAAAAUCAAAUGAAAGCUUCAUUGUAGAAUCCAAGGAGAGGUGCAACACACAAGGUUUUUAACAUCUGCUUCCUUAAUUCAGACUCAACCAACAUUUCUGAAGGCUUUGAGGCCCUUGCCAUCACAUGCUAAGAGGAGUAAAAUGAAGAAGCUAGCAACUGAAACAUGUACCAAGAAUAUCUGGGGGUGUCAGCUUGCUCAUCUAUCUCCUGGGACAUUUUUGUCAGAAUACAGUGGCUGAAGCGUUUAA
rnacentral:lncRNA from 10 species